UAUUUAAGCCUGCUUAGCCCGCCCAGGUUUGUGCGGGAUUAUUUUAUGUCAGUGUGCUUUUUGGAUGUGCUGGCUAUUUCGCCUUGAUUUUCUUUCCGGACUGUGUGCCCGUUAUUACUGGGUUGGUAAUUUUGUUCACGCGCCUGUUGUGUUGGCGUUGACCGUUUUGUACCGGAGAAAAUAAAUCAUUAUUUCCUUACCUCUGCUCUCUGUGCCUGACUCCUACCACCACUCCUAGCAAUUCGUGACAUAUAAAUGAACCCUGAUCCAGCAAAUGGAUUACGGUAAUUCCAACUGCCCUUAACUAGUUGUCUUCGCUAGACAGACACAGGCAGACAGAGAGAGAGAGAGAGAGAGAAGGGGGAAAGUGAGAAAGAAAGGAUGAAUGUGACAGGUGGGAAGAGAGAGAGAGAGAGAGAGAGAGAGAGAGAGAGAGAAGAAAGAAAGAAAGAAAGCAGUGCAAUUUACUUAGACUUGAGUAUUUCAACAACUCUUGUCUUUCAACUUGUUAGACAAUCACAUGUACCUACGGGGGAAGGAUGGCCAGCCACACAGGAGGGUGAUUUUCACUGAGGAGGAGGCCGCGCUGACCGAGAUGCAUGCUGGCCAUUUCGGUGUGAAGCACAUGAUUGCCAAAAUCAACCUACGCUUCUUCUGUCGUGGGAUUGUCAAGGAUGUGGACAGCUGGGCAAGUGAAAUAAACUUUUGUUUAUAAUCACAUUCUAUUAUAUCUGAAAUUAUUAUCAUUUCAAUUAAUGUCAUAUCAGAGAGCACACAAUGUUUCAAUUUGUCACUGUGCUUAAAGGUCAGUACCUGUCUAGCCUGACAGAAGUUUGUGAGGGUGAAGAUUGUGGGCGCUGGAGUUGUUUCACCAUGGCACAUGAUCGGUAAGAGUCACAUUUCAAAUUUUGCCCUGAUAAGUUGUUUUGUAAUGGUUGCUUCAUUUGAUCACAGCAGAGAUCAAUAUUAUAGAAUGUGUGUGUGUGUCAGUAUCCUUACAAAUAUGCAAACCUGCAUAAUGUAUGACAGAUACGGCUAAGAAGGAAGUAAUCUUCUCUCUAAGACUUGAAAUGUUAGGGGUGGACCUCAGACUCUUCACAAAAUCCAGGAAUAGCAACAGCUGGUGUCUAAAACAGCAACUGAUUACUUUACCAAGUGGGUGGAGGCAAUACCCAUUAAGGACCAGACUUACGAGGCCACCUCCAGGGCUUUGAUGGACAUCCUCAACACCCACAGUUCUCCUGAGGUCAUCUUAAGUGACCGAGGUCGUGAACUCUGGAAAAAGGUUUGGAUGAACGGACGAACCAGAUCCUCAAAACUGCCAUGGAGUUGACGGGUACCAGGAAUGGUGAGAGGACAACCUGAAGGUAAUUCUCUUUGCACACAACAGCAGCGUCCAGUCCUCCACCGAGUACUUUCCCUAUUGCCUGCUGUACAGUUGGGAGCCGCAGCUGUUGACUGAGGUAAUAUACUGUUCUUUCAAAUUUGUGAUUGACUUAGUGUUGUUGUUUGCCAAAUUAUUUUUGUGGGGGGGUUGUCUGUUUUGCAUGUUAUUUUGACAUUAAUACGUGUCACUUAUCAGUUUGCAAACGAUGUAAAAAAUGUAAUAAAAAUAAUAGCGUUAGUAAUGGUCUC